AAAUUGAAGAGUUUGAUCAUGGCUCAGAUUGAACGCUGGCGGCAGGCCUAACACAUGCAAGUCGAGCGGAAACGAGUUAUCUGAACCUUCGGGGAACGAUAACGGCGUCGAGCGGCGGACGGGUGAGUAAUGCCUAGGAAAUUGCCCUGAUGUGGGGGAUAACCAUUGGAAACGAUGGCUAAUACCGCAUGAUGCCUACGGGCCAAAGAGGGGGACCUUCGGGCCU
rnacentral:rRNA from 1 species